UUUUAAAUUGCAUUCUUUGUUGAUAUUGUAGUUUAUAUAAUAUUUUCAUUCGACGAAAAGAUUACGCGCAUUACAAGAAACGAGUUCAGUCGUUUAUAAAGCCUUAUCAAGUACGUUUGAACGAAAAAUAAAAAAUCAUCAGGUUAUUAUCUUACUCGGUUACUCGUGUGAAAUUAACAGAAUUUUCACUAAAUUUUUUACGGACCACACUAUACUUUCGUAUCACGGGAAAAUAAUCGUAAGCAUAUUUCUAUUUCGUCAAUCCUUUAAAUAUUUAAUGUUCGAUCAAGAUAUUCCAGGAGGGAACCUUUUUCACCAUCCAGUUGUCGCUGCAAGGCAUUCCUUUCAGAGACAAGUUUCGUGUUCUGCUCUUCGAGUUCCUUGCGCAGUUUCUCUUCCUUUUCGAAGGCUUCCUGAGCUUUUCUCGCUUUCUCCUCGAGCGCCUGCAAUUGCGAUUCCGCAUCACCGUUGGAUUUCUUUCCGUUUACCACGGGAUUCGAAUCGUCGAUCAACGUAUCACCCAUUCUCUCUUUCUCUUCCUUGUUCGAAUUCACAGAUCUCGGUCUGUCGAUAAGCGCACUAAUCGAUCGCAACUAAACGGCCGUCCCGCGGUUAUAACGUGAAAAUUAAUAAACGAUCGAUCGAUCGAUCGAAGAAUCUAAAAAGAGACGCCUCGCUAUCGGAGGAGAUUCAACGAUCUUGUUCGAAACUAUAUUGUUAAUACCGAAUAAGAAAACACGGCUCGAGCGUGGGACGGCUAAUCUUCGUGUUCGAUGUCGAUAUCGAUAACAAAAAUGAAAAGAAGAAAUCUUUCGAUCGUGUUCGUGAUAGUAUAUUCGUCGUAAAAAAAGGGCGAGGAAGGGACCCAGUUCGAAAUAGAAAAUUUUUCGAAGAUGCCGGCGCGAGAUCGAGUAUCUGACUGGUCUUCGGUUUACCAGGGGCUCAACUUUUCUACCCAAAAUCCCCCUUCGUAGUCCUCGCGGAGAAUCAUCGUCGCCGUCCCCACUCCAGCGAUACUCAUCGUAGAAAAAUAUUUAUAACCGAUCUCGAUGACGAAGGAGGGACUUAUACGUGUGCGACCAGAAGGAGCUACCAUGACAAACCGAGCAAGUGGAGGGGGAUCGACCAAAUUAGAAUCUCGUUCCAGUAAGCUUCGAUCGACCGAACUCCAGUCUCCUUUUACGCUCCAGGCAGUGUAAUACCGAUACCGACCUCGUUAUUCUCGCGGGAUCAACCUAUGCCGUUGUCUUUCUCCCGUAAUUAGGAACGACCCAACAGCGAUCCGUGAACGGUGCUAAGA
rnacentral:misc_RNA from 1 species